AAGUGAGCCUAGGGCGCCAGGUGCCCGGACUACAUUUCCCAGAAUUCCCAGCCCUGCCUAGGGCGGAAGUGCCGGCCACCAUGCUGCGCGCCUGGGUUGUGUUUCUCAACAUUCCCGCUGGAAACGAGGGUGCGGAUGCUUCUAGAACUCUGACUAGCGCCACCUCUACCUACCAGGGGGGAUUCCUGCCGGGGCCGCCAGUGAAUGGACGCCGACGCCAAGAGUCGGCCACCGCGGCCGCGACGCCGGAGCCGGCGCCGAGGGGAGCAGCCGGUGUGCCCGCCUCUCCGUGGCUUUCGCUGCUGAACGUGAAUGUGGGCCCUGCGGCCGAGGGGGGGACAGCAUUGACCGGAGACAGAGUCCCAGUGUGGGGAGCGGCGACCUGCGUGGAAUCCCCGAGCUGCUGUGGCAUCCCCGGUGUCCAUGCGGCUCUGUCCUGCAGAGAGGAAAGUGGGAAAGCUGACGGCUCAACCCAGCAGCCUUCAGCAGGGAGAAAGGGAAAGGGGAAGUCGAAGUGCCCACUUCUCUGCUGGGCGCCAAAUACCCGGAUGCACCGUGCCCGUCACACUGACCGGUUAGCCGUGCUGGGUGUUGUCUGCGGCUCUCACCAGCCCGCCGUGCCCUGCCGAAGCAGCCAGGCCACUGUCGGGCCGGCUUUCUCGGGUUCUGGAUUGGUCUGAUGGUGUCCAUGUUGUACUGAAACCUCAAUACUUCCUGCAAACGGGAGGCUCGGUCUAGAGGCUGAAUAAACGUUUGCCACAAAUACGGCACAUCCGAGGCUGGAAAUGGCUGGGCAAGGUCACGCGAAAGCUCCGCCUGGGGUCCUCUCAAGUUCUGGGCAGGUACUCUCGCCACGGGGUAAAAGAAAAAGGUUCAGCAGCCACUAUGUGAAAAUUCUCGAUAAUUCUGAGAAAAAACCAUGCUAACAACACUGUGGAGUUUUCAAUAAUUAUCUUACAGUUUAUAUAUUAUUAAAAGAGGAUCAGUCUGACAAUAGGUGAAACUUUUGGACAGAAAUGACAGAAAAUGUAAAGAUACAAUAGGCGGGGCCAGUGCUGUGGCAUAGUGGGUAAAGCCCUCGGCUGCAGUGCGGGCAUCCCAACUGGGUGCUGGUUCGAGUCCCAGCUGCUCCACUUCCCAUCCAGCUCUCUGCUAUGACCUGGGAAAGCAGUAGAAGAUGGCCCAAGUCCUUGGGCCCCUGCAUCCACACGGAGACCCGGAAGAAGCUCCUGGCUCCUGGCUUCAGAUCGGCACAGCUCCAGCCAUUGUGGCCAGUUGGGGAGUGAACCAGUGGAUGGAAGACCACUCUCUCUCUCUGUCUCUACCUCUGCCUCUCUGUAACUGCCUUUCAAAUAAAUAAAUAUUAAAAAAAAAAAAA